CCAAUGAUUGGGAACCAGUUGAGGUUGAUAGAUCUCCUGGUUGCUAAAAUCAAAUACCCAUCUUUGUGCACCUUUUUUAUGUCUCUGGUGGUCGCAAGAGAAGUCUCUUAUUUGGAGGAUCUCUUCUAGUUCAUUUUGAUCCUCGGACAAAUGAAUGAAGCCACCAAAUGGUUGCUAUAACACACUUUUUUUGCCGUCCAAAAUAUCUGUCUAACAUUGAUUUGUGUAAAAUACAUAAAA
rnacentral:misc_RNA from 1 species